UUAUAGAAACCUAUAUAGUUUGGCGGCACUUCAUCUUAUUAGAGGAACUUGUCUUUUAAUCGAUACCCCCCGAUAAUUUUCACUUAACUCAAUAGCCGAUAUACCGCCAUUUUAAGAAUAAACUAAAAAAUAUCGUUCAAAAUAAUAUUCUAAAAAAUUAGGUCAAGGUGUGGCUAAUACUUAAGCUAAGAUGAGUUAUUUUAAAAUAUUAUUUAAGGAUUAAAUUAUUAAAACAAUUUAUAAAAAAAGAUUUAAAAGUAAAUUAAAAAUAAUAUUUCUAAUUGAAUAAAGAAAUAAGUGUGCACACAUCGCCCG
rnacentral:rRNA from 1 species